ACGUACACUCCUGCGGGAGGCAGCAGUGGGGAAUUUUGGACAAUGGGCGCAAGCCUGAUCCAGCCAUGCCGCGUGCGGGAAGAAGGCCUUCGGGUUGUAAACCGCUUUUGUCAGGGAAGAAAAGGUUCUGGCUAAUACCUGGGACUCAUGACGGUACCUGAAGAAUAAGCACCGGCUAACUACGUGCCAGCAGCCGCGGUAAUACGUAGGGUGCAAGCGUUAAUCGGAAUUACUGGGCGUAAAGCGUGCGCAGGCGGUUAUGCAAGACAGAGGUGAAAUCCCCGGGCUCAACCUGGGAACUGCCUUUGUGACUGCAUGGCUAGAGUACGGUAGAGGGGGAUGGAAUUCCGCGUGUAGCAGUGAAAUGCGUAGAUAUGCGGAGGAACACCGAUGGCGAAGGCAAUCCCCUGGACCUGUACUGACGCUCAUGCACGAAAGCGUGGGGAGCAAACAGGAUUAGAAACCCCGGUAGUCCC
rnacentral:rRNA from 1 species